CCUCUUUGAGGUUUCCUGGCCAUGGGAAGAAGGCAAGUGCUUUGUAGAAGUUUGAGCUAGAGAUCGUUGUCCCUAAAAGAUCUGGUCCUAUAGCCCUAACAACUCAUCAACUAGAUUAAAAAGCCAAUGGUUUUGAUAGCUGAUUCUGUAAAUAUAAAGAGUGCAUCUGGUGGUUAAAUCGUAGCCAAUUCAAAAGCUCACAUGGCUAAGGUAGUAUUGAAGGAACACUUGGUUCUAACUUUGUUUAGAGAUGAGUAUGAUCUAUUACAUGAAGAUUAUCAGCUUUAUCUUCUUCCAAGCAUUUUGGAAUCCAAAAAGUUAGCUAAAUCUGGACGAGCGAAACAAAGUAUGCAGAUUUGGAAUAUAAUGUGGCAAAACAAGUUGAGAAGAUGAUAAGGUACAAUGCAGCAGAAAACUCUCCAUAACUGAACAUUUCAGCGCCUAUCAGAUCUCCAAUAAUAAUGAUAAGAUUUCAGAAGUUUAAACAAAGAAAUCAGCUUCACAAAAUUCUGCCGUGCCAUUUCUGAAUCAAAACUGAAGUGCAGUUGGAAAAUUCCAGAUUCUGCAUAUUUGCAUUCUGAUCUCUGGACUUAAGUUUCAGAAUUCCAGAAUUGAAUCAAUUUCAGCAUUAAGUAAGAAAAUUCCAGCCAAACAGUGGUCUCAUAUAGCAUCAGAGUGAUUGGAACUUCAAAUAUUGUUACAUCAGAUUAAACUUUGCCGAAUCAGAAAUUGCAGAAACAUUCAAGUUGGAUUCUGAAUCUUGGUAGAAGCUAUUAACACCUUCAGAAAAACAAUAUUCAGCAAGCCAAAUUGCUGAAAAGAUAGCAGACAACAUCUUUCAGCAAUUCAUUCCAAGUAAUUUGCUUCCAUUCCAUAACUGCACAACAGUAUGCCCUCAUCCAGCAACUAACCUGCCAACAUUGCAAAUUUCUUGUACAUUUCAAAUAUAAAGUUUCAGAAUUAAAAAUUUAGAAGAGUAUGUAUCACCAUUCUUUAACAUGCAGUGAAUCACUUCAAAAUUUAUUCCCAACAGCUACAUAUGUUCAUUAAAAUGUGCCCAUCA